ACUCCUACGGGAGGCAGCAGUGGGGAAUAUUGCACAAUGGGCGCAAGCCUGAUGCAGCCAUGCCGCGUGUGUGAAGAAGGCCUUCGGGUUGUAAAGCACUUUCAGUUGUGAGGAAAGGUUAGUCGCUAAUAUCGGCUAGCUGUGACGUUAGCAACAGAAGAAGCACCGGCUAACUCCGUGCCAGCAGCCGCGGUAAUACGGAGGGUGCGAGCGUUAAUCGGAAUUACUGGGCGUAAAGCGUGCGUAGGCGGCCAUUUAAGUCAAAUGUGAAAUCCCGCGCUACUUAGGAUUGGAAUUGCUGAUACAUGGAUGGCUAGAGUAUGGGAGAGGAUGGUAGAAUUCCAGGUGUAGCGGUGAAAUGCGUAGAGAUCUGGAGGAAUACCGAUGGCGAAGGCAGCCAUCUGGCCUAAUACUGACGCUGAGGUACGAAAGCAUGGGGAGCAAACAGGAUUAGAUA
rnacentral:rRNA from 1 species